GACGAACGCUGGCGGCGUGCUUAACGCAUGCAAGUCGAACGGUAAGGCCCUUCGGGGUACACGAGUGGCGAACGGGUGAGUAACACGUGGGUGAUCUGCCCUGCACUUCGGGAUAAGCCUGGGAAACUGGGUCUAAUACCGGAUAGGACCACUGCCUGCAUGGGUGGUGGUGGAAAGCUUUUGCGGUGUGGGAUGGGCCCGCGGCCUAUCAGCUUGUUGGGGGGGUGAGGGCCUACCAAGGCGACGACGGGUAGCCGGCCUGGGAGGGUGACCGGCCGCACUGGGACUGGGAUAAGGCCCAGACGCCUACGGGAGGCAGCAGUGGGGAAUAUUGCACAAUGGGCGGAAGGCUAAUGCAGCGACGCCGCGUGAGGGAUGACGGCCUUCGGGUUGUAAACCUCUGUCAGCUCCGACGAGGCGCAAGUGACGGUAGGUGCAGAAGAAGGACCGGCCAACUACGUGCCAGCCGCCGCAGUAAGAC
rnacentral:rRNA from 1 species